UAGAGUUUGAUCCUGGCUCAGGACGAACGCUGGCGGCGUGCUUAACACAUGCAAGUCGAACGAGGCCCAAGCGUCAGCAAUGACGUGGAAGGCCUAGUGGCGAACGGGUGAGUAACACGUGAGGAACCUACCCCGGACUCAGGGAUAACAGACGGAAACAUCUGCUAAUACCUGAUGCCGUCGGAGCAUCACAUGGUGCACUGACGAAAGAAUCUCGGUUCGGGAGGGCCUCGCGGCCUAUCAGCUAGUUGGUGGGGUAACGGCCUACCAAGGCAUCGACGGGUAGCUGGUCUGAGAGGAUGAUCAGCCACACUGGGACUGAGACACGGCCCAGACUCCUACGGGAGGCAGCAGUGGGGAAUCUUGCGCAAUGGGCGAAAGCCUGACGCAGCAACGCCGCGUGCGGGAAGAAGGCCUUAGGGUUGUAAACCGCUUUCAGUAGGAACGAAAAUGACGGUACCUGCAGAAGAAGGUGCGGCCAACUACGUGCCAGCAGCCGCGGUGACACGUAGGCACCAAGCGUUGUCCGGAUUUAUUGGGCGUAAGGAGCUCGUAGGCGGUUCAGUAAGUCGGGUGUGAAAACUCUGGGCUUAACCCAGAGCCGCCACUCGAUACUGCUGUGACUAGAGUUCGGUAGGGGAGCAGGGAAUUCCUAGUGUAGCGGUGAAAUGCGCAGAUAUUAGGAGGAACACCGGUGGCGAAGGCGCUGCUCUGGGCCGAUACUGACGCUGAGGAGCGAAAGCGUGGGUAGCAAACAGGAUUAGAUACCCCUGGUAGUCCACGCCGUAAACGUUGGGCACUAGGUGUGGGGUUCCAACCAACGGAAUCCGCGCCGUCGCUAACGCAUUAAGUGCCCCGCCUGGGGAGUACGGCGGCAACGCUAAAACUCAAAGGAAUUGACGGGGGCCCGCACAAGCAGCGGAGCGUGUUGCUUAAUUCGAUGCAACGCGAAGAACCU
rnacentral:rRNA from 1 species